CAAAUACUCCCUCCGUCCGGAAAUACUUGUCAUCAAAAUGGAUAAAAGGAAAUGUAUCUAGACGUAUUUUAGUUUUAGAUAUAUCUAUUUUUAUCCAUUUUGAUGACAAGUAUUUCGGGACGGAUGGAGUAGAAA
rnacentral:pre_miRNA from 1 species